rnacentral:tRNA from 1 species
GGGUGAUUAGCUCAGUUGGUAGAGCAUCUCCUUUACACGGAGGGGGUCCGUCAUCACCCACCA